UUGGUGUACGGUGUUUGGUUUAUGGUGUACGGUGUUUGGUGUUUGGUUUAUGGUGUAUUUUAUUUGUUUUGCAGUGGUAUGAUGCUUGUGCGUUUCACACGAAUACUGCAGUCCCUUGGGCUAUGUUCGGGACUCCUGUGUUUGUCAGUGGGGCAAGAGGAGCCACAGGCAGCCCAAGACUACUGUCAGUGGUUUAUAAAGGAAUGUAUGGGGGAAUUUAUAUGUUAGGGAAAAAAUACUUUAUCGUAAAAAAUGAAAUAUUGUGUUUGAGUCUUCCUUUAUUUCAAUUUUGCCAUAGAAUUUCAGUAGAGCGAGUUUGAAGUCCGCUACAUUCCUUUAUAAACCACUGACAGUAGCCUUGGGUUGCCUGUGGAGGGGCUGAGAACCACAGGGAACCCGAAAAACCACAGCAAACCCGAAUAGAACACCAGGGACUGGGCGGCUUCUUACCCUCUUCGACAUCGUUGCUCAUCUCGGGGAUGGCUCUCCGUGUCGGUGCUUACGAGGUAGUUAAUCUCCACUUCAUAAGACCUACAAAACAAACAGAAUGCUCCUAGAGUGGGACAUUCAACAAGCUGUAGGGGAAUGUUACAAAACAAACAGAAUGCUCCUAGAGUGGGACAUUCAACAAGCUGUAGGGGAAUGUUACAAAGAAAAAAGAGACAACCAAGGACCCAACCACCGAGACUGCUCGCUCGACUUGAGUACGUCGCCAAGGAAACCGUAAGCCAAUGAGAAGGCGAACCUGACAAGCCUGUUGGCGCUUUCCAGCGAGCAGAUAUCCAGGGACUGGGAAGGACCUAGCAAAGUGGUGCUGAUGAGCAACAGUGAGGAUGUGGGUUUUAUGUUCGAUAUACUAUAAGACUGAAAUGGACAAUGCUAAUAUAAUAAUGUACGCAUGUCUUAGAAGUCAACUUUUGAAAAUUGAAGGUUGGUACUAGCAGCAUUUUAAAUCAUAAUUUCAAAAUGUUUUUCAUAAUUGCACAAGCAAAAUCGGCUGAUAAAACGGAGUUCGAGAAAUUGUUUGGUUUUAGCAGACUUCUGUUUAACUAGCCCAUAAGAAUCAUAAUCAGUCGUACAGAGCUAUAAAUAUGUUUUCUAGUGGGAAGUUUAUUUUCAAAAUAAUUAAGAAAAUGAAUAUGUGAAAAUAUCAAAGAAUAAAGUAAAAGGGUUUCACAGAGCUAAAACUUAAAGCUCCUGAAAUCCUUAAUCCUCUGGCAUUUUCUUAACUCUACCAAUCCCGGAAGAGCCGAAGGACCCAAAAGAUCCGGAAGGUCCAAAGAGAAUCCAAAAGAACCGGAAGAUCCAAAAGAUCCAGAAGAUUCGAAAGAUCCUAAAGACCCAGAAGAUUCGAAAGAUCCUAUAGAUCCAGAAGAUUCGAAAGAUCCUAAAGAUCCAGAAGAUUCGAAAGAUCCUAAAGAUUCAGAAGAUUCGAAAGUUCCUAAAGAUCCAGAAGAAUAGAAAGAUCCUCACCCAAUGCAAUGUUGAUUGCAGCUGUUGUCGGAUCAUUGGUUCCAAGACCAGAGAAUGCAAUGACAUCAGUUGAGCCUACAAACAAACGA